UAUUAAAACACCAGUUCUCAUACGAUCAACGAAGUUAAGCAAUUCUUGAGCCUGGUCAUUACUUUGAUGGGUGACUGCUUGGGAAUACCAGGUACUGUAAG